GGGUGGAUUUGGAAGAGGGGAGUUGUGUAGAGUGGGGGGUGAUCAUUCACCCCCCUUCCCCAGACUCAGUGCUCAACACUUUACUACUGCUUGCAAUGUGAACCUGGGAUAUCCUUGUUAGAGAUCCCCCCCACCCCCCAGCCCACCCCACAGCACCAUGCACACAGCAGCACACAUCCAGACACACCAUGCACACAUAGCCUGGGAGCAUCCACUACUAUCCUGUGCACACUGAUACUCAGCCUUCAUCCUCUGCUACCCUGUGCACACCUCCAAGCCUUCGCUGUCAUGCAUGCUACAAUCACAUCCAUGCAUGCAGUGCCGGAAUAUGCAUCUCCAUCCUGGGACCUGAGCGAUGCUCUGCUGCAGCAAGACUGGACAAUCCCAUGCCACCUAAUAAGGAUUUAAGCUUUUUAUUUCCAAAGAAGAUUCUGGGCUUCAGUUUUUAUUAUUGCUAGAAUUGUUAUUUUUCAUAUAAGCUCUUCUCAUCAUUUUUGCUGGGUGGAAAAAAAAAAGUAACCUCUGCAUCCCACAAUGGAACUAAAUUGGAUGCUGCUCCUGUCUCUGGUUUGGCAAGUUCAAGCAGUAGAAGAGACCUUAAUGGACACACGAACGGCCACAGCGGAGCUAGGCUGGACGGCAACUCCUUCUUCUGGGUGGGAAGAAGUGAGCGGCUAUGAUGAAAACCUCAACACAAUACGCACAUAUCAAGUGUGCAAUGUUUUUGGGCCCAACCAGAACAACUGGCUUCGUACUACCUUCAUUCCUCGGCGGAAUGCCCAGCGCGUCUACGUGGAGAUGCGUUUUACUGUCCGAGACUGUAGUAGCCUCCCUAAUGUGCCAGGGUCUUGUAAAGAAACUUUUAACUUGUAUUACUAUGAGUCGGACUCCCACGUUCCGAAUAAAGACUCAGCAUUUUGGAAUGAUGCUCCUUACCUUAAAGUAGACACGAUAGCUGCUGAUGAAAGCUUCUCACAGGUGGACUUUGGUGGGAGGCUGAUGAAAGUGAACACUGAAGUUCGUAGUUUUGGCCCAUUGACUCGCAGUGGCUUCUAUUUAGCCUUCCAGGAUUAUGGAGCAUGUAUGUCACUCCUGUCUGUCCGUGUCUUCUUCAAAAAGUGCCCCACUGUGGUUCAGAAUUUUGCAGUCUUCCCGGAAACCAUGACUGGGGCAGAGAGCACAUCGUUGGUGAUAGCAAGAGGAACGUGUAUCCCUAAUGCAGAGGAAGUAGAUGUACACAUUAAACUGUACUGCAAUGGCGAUGGAGAAUGGAUGGUGCCCAUCGGCAGAUGUACCUGCAAAGCUGGAUAUGAACCUGAAAAUCAUACAGUCUGCAAAGCCUGCCCAGCUGGCAUGUUUAAAGCCAAUCAAGGAUUGGGGAUUUGUGCUCCAUGUCCUUCGAACAGUCGCUCCACGGCGGAGGCCUCGCCCAUCUGUAUCUGCCGCAAUGGCUACUAUCGAGCGGAUUUUGAUCCACCAGAGGCAACAUGCACAAGUGUACCUUCUGGACCUCGUAAUGUUAUCUCUAUAGUGAAUGAGACAUCAAUCACAUUGGAGUGGCACCCCCCACGUGAAACUGGAGGCAGGGAGGAUGUCACCUACAACAUUAUCUGCAAGAAGUGUCGCUCUGAUCGGAGAAGUUGCUCGCGGUGUGAUGAUAAUGUAGAUUUCGUUCCCCGACAAAUGGGGCUCACAGACACUCGUGUCUUCAUCAGCAAUUUAUGGGCCCACACACCAUAUACGUUUGAGAUCCAGUCUGUGAAUGGAGUGACCAAUAAAAGCCCAUUCCCUCCCCAACAUGUGUCCGUCAAUAUAACCACUAACCAAGCAGCUCCUUCCACUGUUCCCAUCAUGCACCAGGUCAGAGCUACGAUGAAGAGUAUCACUAUAUCUUGGCCCCAACCAGAGCAGCCCAACGGUAUUAUCCUGGACUAUGAAAUCCGGUAUUAUGAGAAGGAUCAAAAUGAAUUUAACUCUUCUAUAGCGAGAAGCCAAACCAACACAGCCAGCAUAGAAGGACUAAAGCCUGGUGUGGUGUAUGUGGUACAGGUCAGGGCACGCACAGUGGCGGGUUAUGGAAAGUACAGUGGAAAAAUGUGCUUCCAAACACUGACUGAUGAGGAUUACAAAUCAGAGCUGAGAGAGCAGCUUCCACUGAUUGCUGGCUCGGCAGCAGCGGGUGUUGUCUUCAUAGUAUCCCUGGUGGCUAUUUCCAUUGUGUGCAGCAGUUUUGUUAUAUAUUCCAGGAAAAGGACGUACAGUAAAGAAGCAGUGUACAGUGAUAAACUACAACACUACAGCACCGGCAGAGGCUCUCCAGGAAUGAAGAUUUACAUUGACCCCUUCACAUAUGAAGAUCCCAACGAAGCUGUGAGGGAAUUUGCUAAGGAGAUUGAUGUCUCCUUUGUGAAGAUUGAAGAAGUUAUUGGGGCAGGAGAGUUUGGAGAGGUGUACAAGGGCCGCCUGAAGCUCCCUGGGAAGAGGGAAAUCUAUGUUGCUAUCAAAACCCUUAAAGCUGGAUAUUCCGAAAAGCAAAGAAGGGAUUUCCUGAGUGAAGCAAGCAUUAUGGGCCAGUUUGAUCAUCCCAACAUCAUCCGACUCGAAGGUGUGGUGACCAAGAGCCGACCUGUAAUGAUCAUUACUGAAUUCAUGGAAAAUGGUGCACUGGAUUCGUUCCUACGGCAAAAUGAUGGGCAGUUUACAGUGAUCCAGCUGGUGGGAAUGCUCCGAGGUAUUGCAGCUGGCAUGAAGUAUCUAUCGGAAAUGAAUUAUGUUCACAGAGACCUGGCAGCCAGGAACAUCCUGGUGAAUAGCAACCUGGUGUGCAAGGUGUCUGACUUUGGGCUGUCUCGCUAUCUGCAGGAUGAUACAUCAGAUCCAACAUACACCAGCUCCUUGGGGGGUAAGAUCCCAGUGAGAUGGACGGCACCAGAAGCUAUUGCUUAUCGCAAAUUCACAUCAGCCAGCGAUGUCUGGAGUUAUGGUAUUGUCAUGUGGGAAGUGAUGUCAUUUGGGGAACGGCCAUACUGGGACAUGUCCAAUCAGGAUGUCAUCAAUGCCAUCGAGCAGGAUUACCGCCUGCCUCCCCCCAUGGACUGUCCAGCAGCCCUGCACCAGCUCAUGCUGGACUGUUGGCAGAAGGAUCGAAACAGCCGGCCGCGCUUUGGGGACAUUGUCAAUACUCUGGACAAGAUGAUCCGGAACCCCGCCAGCCUCAAAACAGUGGCCACCAUCCCUGCUGUGCCUUCCCAGCCACUGCUUGACCGCUCCAUCCCAGACUUCACAGCCUUUACCUCAGUGGAUGACUGGUUGAGUGCUAUCAAAAUGGGACAGUACAGAGAUAGCUUCCUGAGCUCUGGUUUCACCUCAUUGCAGCUUGUUGCCCAGAUGACUCCAGAGGACCUCCUGAGGAUAGGAAUUACAUUAGCUGGACACCAGAAAAAAAUCCUGAACUGUAUUCAGUCCAUGAGGGUCCAAAUGAGCCAGUCACCCACCUCUAUGGCAUGAGACUCUGGGAUGGGUGAGGGAUCCCUCAAGGGUGGGGGAGGGAAAGAGAAGAGGUUGAAGAUAUAAAAGAUUUGGGCAGUGGGGGAAGAUGAACUUUGCAAUUCAAGAAGCAACACUUCAGGAUCAAUGGUGGACCACCCGUCAGGAACGUAAAGGCCAAUACUUUGCCUCUUACAAGUAGAGCAGUAAAAAAUCAUAAACAAAAACGUCAGCUGAUGGAUAUACACUGUGUUUUCAGAUGACUGAUGUUUCAGAAUGGUUGGACAUCUCUUGAGAAGGUCUUGCCUGUGAACAUCAGUGGUAUUGGUUGAAAUAAAGGUGCUUAAUUUCAUCAUCAUACAAUUGCAAAGGGACGGAGGAUGCCACAUUAAGCCCGCUUUACCCAUGAAUGGAUGCCACACGUAUCCUCAUUUCUGACACUGUUGCUGCAUCAAGGAGGAAGGCAACCGCACACUUCCAUCUUCUCUUUAUUGUUUUGAUUGUCUUCAUAUUGAAGAUGCGUUUGUAUGGCAGAACAACAAACAUUUUUUUCUUCUUUUUUUGCUUGCAUUUUUUGGCAAAAACAAAAAAAAGGAAAAACCUUAAAAAAACAAACAAAAAAAAAACAGGAUGAUUACCUGACAUUGUGUCUACUUUUGUGUCCUGUUUGUCAAAAAAUUUAAAAUACAGAUACGAGAGCUGUGGAUUCCAUGUAUAUAGAGGGAUUGAGGUCUAUUAAACAGAGAGGACAAAUUCUCUUUCUUAUGGAACUUUAUCUGGAUAAUAUCAGACUUUGUCUUGGAAGCCAAACAAUGCCAGAAAAUGGCUUAAGGAUGGGGACAAUGAGGACAUCUGCUUAAGUUGAUUGUGGUGUAAUUCUGGAAUAGCAUGACAUAAAGAACACUGGGCUUGUGCAUAAACCCAAGGCCAUCUUAUCACUUGUGGAAUUAUUUAAUGUUCACCUGGCAGCAGAAACUUCUAGAUCACGAGAGUCCAGCCCAGUGGACGCCAUCAGAUGUCAUGUGACAGUGCGGAAGGAUGUAUCUGCCCCCCCUGGAGAAGAUGAGAUGGAUGAUGGGUCCUCUUUGCCUAUUCUCUCCCCUCCAGCCCCCCUUUAGCUUCCACGACUACCACAUAGCUGUAUAUUUCUGUAAGUUCCUGCAUUGUACAAUUACCCCUCUCUGAUUUGUCACCUGUGUUCAAAAUGUUGGAGUUUGUAACAGUAAUUUCAAAGAAGAAAAACAUUGUAUUAAAAAGAAGAAAAAUCUAAAUUGCACUCAAUAAAAAUGAAUCAAAAUCCUCA